AGGCGGCGCAUGAGGAGAGAGCUGCGGCAGGCGCUGCGCCGUCUUAAUGUUAUACAUUCGAUUGAGUAGCAAGACGAGUGUCUGAAGCCAAGCCGAGGAUGAGUAAUGGAAGGUGGAGAACAUUUACAAUGGGAAGAGGUGGCAGCAUAUGGAGAGAAAUAUUCUGGGCACUGUGGUGAAUUAUAUAUGCACACGACCAGAAGAACAGACAAUGAAACUGUGUGAGGACGAGCGAUGGCAGUAGCAGCACUUCCCUCCACUGACGAGCAGGCAAUUAUCAGGAAGGAACGGCUCCCACUGGAUCACUGCCUGCUUAGUCGGUGCAUGAAAGACAACUCCACUGCAGGGAACGUAUGAGGACUACCAGACGUGGAUCUGUCGGUGCGGACGGCCAAUUCAGACCAAUCUCAUCAUCCGAGAGGCCGCGUUCUUCAUGCGGUACAACUGACUUGUGAUUUGCCAGACUGUCAGCUAACAUCAGGAGCUGCAAAAAAAAGACACAAAAAGCACAAAACUGAUGCCUCCAGAAACCUGUGUCGAUCCACUUGAGUUCCUCAAAAGAAGCCGCUUGCAUUUUCUCUAUAUCACAUGCUUUUUAUGGUGCCUGUGGGGCAGAUAUUCUGUGUGCCAAAGACCAACAAAAUGCCAACCAAUUA